ACGAACGCUGGCGGCGUGCUUCACACAUGCCAGUCGAACGGAAAGGCCCUGCUUUUGUGGGGUGCUCGAGUGGCGAACGGGUGAGUAACACGUGAGUAACCUGCCCUUGACUUUGGGAUAACUUCAGGAAACUGGGGCUAAUACCGGAUAGGAGCUCCUGCUGCAUGGUGGGGGUUGGAAAGUUUCGGCGGUUGGGGAUGGACUCGCGGCUUAUCAGCUUGUUGGUGGGGUAGUGGCUUAUCAAGGCUUUGACGGGUAGCCGGCCUGAGAGGGUGACCGGCCACAUUGGGACUGAGAUACGGCCCAGACUCCUACGGGAGGCAGCAGUGGGGAAUAUUGCACAAUGGGCGGAAGCCUGAUGCAGCAACGCCGCGUGCGGGAUGACGGCCUUCGGGUUGUAAACCGCUUUCGCCUGUGACGAAGCGUGAGUGACGGUAAUGGGUAAAGAAGCACCGGCUAACUACGUG
rnacentral:rRNA from 1 species